GAUACUACUGUACAUAAACGGACUGAACAAGUGGAAAGGCAGAUACGCUUUGGCCUGCAUACAUGUGCACAAAGGAAAAUACGAUCCCUUAUUGACAUGGCCCUGUAUAAUUGAGGGCCAAAUUUCCUUAAGAGACUUAACAGAAACUAGUCAGAAGAAGAAUUUUAUAAAAUGCAUAAAGACAAAGCGAUCAAGUGGGGACGAGGAUGAGGACGAACCGCAGGAAUCUUCACCUACGUAUAUUUUUAUGCCCCACUCGGUCAUGUUGAAAGCAAACUACACCAAAAAUGAUAGACUUUUUUUGGAUGUUAAUAUAAGCGAGAACCAAACACGACACGAGACAAGUUUGUAGUUAAUAAAAUUUUGUUCUUUU
rnacentral:lncRNA from 1 species